GAGCAGUGCUGUGGGGGAGAUAUCAUGUUUUGCAGCUGCCUGUUGAAUUUAUUUGAUGACCAUCUACAUUUUUCAGACUGGGGCAGUUUGACUGCAUAAUCAAAAGUAGGACACUGUCAGCCAGUGUUGCUGUAUGUUUCAGGGAUAUAAAAUGAUGACAGAUGAUCUUCCACAGCAUUUGAAAGGGGUCUGUGAGCCCUCGUAGUUGGGCUAAUUUCUCCAGUAAUGUGUUGCCCCAGUUUUUAACACAGCUCUACUUCUUUUACUCCAUGGCAGAUGCAGUCCUGUUACAACUUCAUGAAUUUGAGGUCCUUAGUGCCUGAAAAGAAACUAUCCCAGGCUAUUUCUUCAAAGUUUUUGAAUUCUCUGGGUAGUGGUCUGAUGGAAAGAAAAAACGUGUGGAAAACAUCUGUCACAUUCCUGAUUAUUAAUUGCUAUUUUUACUUAUUAAAACUUGUUGAAGAAAA